UACGUAGGGGCCCAGCGUUGUCCGGAAUCAUUGGGCGUAAAGGGCGCGUAGGUGGCCACUUCAAGCGUGCGGUGAAAGUCGGGGGCUCAACCCCUGAUCGGCCGUGCGAACUGGGGGGCUGGAGCACUGUAGAGGCAGGCGGAAUUCCGGGUGUAGCGGUGGAAUGCGUAGAGAUCCGGAAGAACACCGGUGGCGAAGGCGGCCUGCUGGGCAGUUUUGCUGACACUGAGGCGCGACAGCGUGGGGAGCAAACAGG
rnacentral:rRNA from 1 species